AUUGAACGCUGGCGGCAGGCUUAACACAUGCAAGUCGAGCGGAGAGAAGUAGCUUGCUACUGAUCUUAGCGGCGGACGGGUGAGUAAUGCUUAGGAAUCUGCCUAUUAGUGGGGGACAACAUUUCGAAAGGAAUGCUAAUACCGCAUACGUCCUACGGGAGAAAGCAGGGGAUCUUCGGACCUUGCGCUAAUAGAUGAGCCUAAGUCGGAUUAGCUAGUUGGUGGGGUAAAGGCCUACCAAGGCGACGAUCUGUAGCGGGUCUGAGAGGAUGAUCCGCCACACUGAGGCUGAGACACGGCACAGAGUCCUACGGGAGGCAGCAGUGGGGAAUAUUGGACAAUGGGCGGAAGCCUGAUCCAGCCAUGCCGCGUGUGUGAAGAAGGCCUUAUGGUUGUAAAGCACUUUAAGCGAGGAGGAGGCUACUUUAGUUAAUACCUAGAGAUAGUGGACGUUACUCGCAGAAUAAGCACCGGCUAACUCUGUGCCAGCCGCCGCGGUAACAC
rnacentral:rRNA from 1 species